rnacentral:rRNA from 1 species
GAACCGUCCAAACGUUAUUCGGAAUCAUUGGGCUUAAAGGGUGCGUAGGCGGCUCUGCAAGUUGGGUGUGAAAUACCUCGGCUCAACCGAGGAACUGCGCUCAAAACUGCAAAGCUUGAGGGAGAUAGAGGUGAGUGGAACUAUGGGUGGAGCGGUGAAAUGCGUUGAUAUCCGUAGGAACACCGGUGGCGAAAGCGGCUCACUGGGUCUCUUCUGACGCUGAGGUACGAAAGCCAGGGGAGCGAACGGGGGAUUAGAUACCCCGGUAGUCCUGGCUGUAAACGAUGAGCACUAGAUCGUAGGGGUUCCAUGCCCUUACGGUCGAACUGAAAAGGUUAAGUGCUCCGCCUGGGGGAGUAUGUCCGCAAGGAUG